rnacentral:lncRNA from 1 species
AUGUACCAUCUUUUCAUCUUGUUUUCAGAUGAAAACCAGAAAGUGUUGAUGAUAUGCCCCGUCAUGAGACAGUCCAUUGUUCACUUGAUAACAUCAGAGCAUGUUGCAGAGCAGGAAGAAUGCCUGGCAUUGCUAUGUUUGUACUCACAGAGGCCACAUGGCAGGCGUUUGGCCAUUGACAACCUGAAUGUGCACAUGUUAGUGAGGAACCUCAUGGUGUGCAUCUCAAAGCCAAAUCAGCAGCAGCAGAACACAGCGGUCAACAUUCUUGAGAACUUUGCAUCAGAGAACAAAUUUUGCAUUCAGUUAAGGGACGUGUUGUCAGAGUCUGUCAUUGCGCCAUUUACAGUAUUACUGAGAAAUAUCUGCGAGUCCAAUCGGCCUGUCCUUGCUUCACUGAUAUCGGCCGUUGGCUGUCUGGCUCGAGAUGACGUCAUCUGUCACAGUUUUGCACAUGAUCCAGAAUGUUGGAAGGCUUUUGUGGUCGCCAUUAGGCAAUGCAGUGCAUGUGAAUACAAAGAAGUCAUUUACCCUCUGCUUGGGUUGAUCAUCAACCUUUCGGCUAUCACCUCUCCAAUCAUUCAGGUAAGACGAAUGACAUUUGAUAUUUACUUUACGUUUCAGUUAUUCACGGUAUUUGUUAUGAGUGCAAAAAUGAUCUUUUGUCUUAUCUCUUGUUAUUUUUUAGUGGGCACUGUACUAACUGAUGAUAUGAUGAUACUCUAUUCCAGAUAA